rnacentral:rRNA from 1 species
GAUGAACGCUGGCGGCGCGCCUAAUACAUGCAAGUCGAGCGAACAGAUGAGGAGCUUGCUCCUCUGACGUUAGCGGCGGACGGGUGAGUAACACGUGGAUAACCUACCUAUAAGACUGGGAUAACUUCGGGAAACCGGAGCUAAUACCGGAUAAUAUAUUGAACCGCAUGGUUCAAUAGUGAAAGACGGUUUUGCUGUCACUUAUAGAUGGAUCCGCGCCGCAUUAGCUAGUUGGUAAGGUAACGGCUUACCAAGGCAACGAUGCGUAGCCGACCUGAGAGGGUGAUCGGCCACACUGGAACUGAGACACGGUCCAGACUCCUACGGGAGGCAGCAGUAGGGAAUCUUCCGCAAUGGGCGAAAGCCUGACGGAGCAACGCCACGUGAGUGAUGAAGGUCUUCGGAUCGUAAAACUCUGUUAUUAGGGAAGAACAAAUGUGUAAGUAACUAUGCACGUCUUGACGGUACCUAAUCAGAAAGCCACGGCUAACUACGUG